GGUUCGAUCAUGGCUCAGAUUGAACGCUGGCGGGAUGCUUUACGCAUGCAAGUCGAACGGCAGCACGGACUUCGGUCUGGUGGCGGGUACGUGAACGGGUGAGUAAUGUAUCGGAACGUGCCUAGUAGCGGGGGAUAACUACGCGAAAGCGUAGCUAAUACCCGCAUACGCCCUUCGGGGGAAAGCGGGAGGACCUUCGGGCCUCCGCGCUAUUAGAGCGGCCGAUAUCGGAUUAGCUAGUUGGUGGGGUAACGGCUCACCAAGGCGACGAUCCGUAGCUGGUUUGAGAGGACGACCAGCCACCCUGGGACUGAGACACGGCCCAGACUCCUACGGGAGGCAGCAGUGAGGAAUUUUGGACAAUGGGGAAACCUGAUCCAGCCAUCCCCGCGUGUGCGAUGAAGGCCUUCGGGUUGUAAAGCACUUUUGGCAGGAAAGAAACGGCACGGGAUAAUACCCGUGCAACUGACGAAACACCUGCAGAAUAAGCACCGGCUAACUACGUGCGGCAGCCGCGGUAAUACGUAGGGUGCAAGCGUUAAUCGGAAUUACUGGGCGUAAAGCGUGCGCGAGCGGUUCGGAAGAAGAUGUGAAAUCCCAGAGCUUAACUUUGGAACUACAUUUUUAACUACCGAGCUAGAGUGUCAGAGGAGGUGGAAUUCCAUGUGUAGCAGUGAAAUGCGUAGAUAUGCGGAGGAACACCAGUGGCGAAGGCAGCCUCUAGGAUAACGCAGCGCUCAUGCACGAAAGCGUGGGGAGCAAACAGGAUUAGAUACCCUGGUAGUCCACGCCCUAAACGAUGUCAAUAGCUGUUGGGGCCUUCGGGCCUUGGUAGCGCAGCUAACGCGUGAAGUUGACCGCCUGGGGAAUUACGGUCGCAAGAUUAAAACUCAAAGGAAUUGACGGGGACCCACACAAGCGGUGGAUGAUGUGGAUUAAUUCGAUGCAACGCGAAAAGCCUUACCUACCGCUUGACAUGUCUGGAAUCCCGAAGAGAUUUGGGAGUGCUCGCAAGAGAACCGGAACACAGGUGCUGCAUGGCUGUCGUCAGCUCGUGUCUGAGAUGUUGGGUUAAGUCCGCAACAGGCGCAACCCUUGUCAUUAGUUGCUACGAAAGGGCACUCUAAUGAGACUGCCCGGUGACAAACCGGAAGGUGGGGAUGACGUCAAGUCCUCACAGCCCUUAUGGUGGGCUACACGUCUUCGUGGUCAGGACAGAGGUGCCAACCCGAGGAGCCAAUCAGAAACCCGAUCGUAGUCCGGAUCGCAGUCUGCAACUCGACUGCGUGAAGUCGGAAUCGCUAGUAAUCGCGGAUCAGCAUGUCGCGGUGAAUACGUUCCCGGGUCGCCUUACACCGCCCGUCACACCAUGGGAGUGGGUUUUACCAGAAGUAGUUAGCUAACCGUAAGGAGGGCGAUUACCACGGUAGGAUUCGCUGACUGGGGUGAAGUCCUUCAAAGACA
rnacentral:rRNA from 1 species